rnacentral:lncRNA from 1 species
GUUUUUAUUCCAGAAAAAAUGACUAGGCCUAGCGAAUGCCUACAUACAGUAACCUAUGCUUGUCUAUGUGUAUAAUCUUUGAGACUACAAUAUAAUUCCGAUGUCCAUGGCCUCCACCUAUCCAACCCUUUCCACAUCAUCAGACGAAGGAGGGGCAUAUGUUAUGUCACCAAUUAGUUUGUGACGGGGCAAAAAAAUGACGGUAUAUAGGCCUAUAUCAAACACAAUACAUUUUGCUCUACAGUUUGUAGUUAAUUAUCGCAGUCAUUUAUUGUUUUUCUUUUUAGGAGUGGUUGGUAGGCUAUAGAAUUGUGCAGCUCAUGCUCUAUCCACGACAAUUGUCCCGUUAUCUUAUGAUGCCUGGGCGCUCGAACUGGAGCCCUUGGGUGAGGCUUCCAAAAUUGUACAGAUUGAAUUUCGAACGUUUAAGUCAUUCACCAUAAAGAUGAGGCAGAGCAGGCAACAGAUGGCACACAGACAGCAGAGUUGGGGACAGAUAUGCAGGGACAGACUGGCAGAGACAGGGAGUCUCAGCCCUCUCCCUUUCCAGAUUCUUUAGGCUGGACCAGAUGCAGACGAGGGCCAUUCCUUUGCCAUGCUGGUGCUACAGGGGACUGUCUGUGAUGUCUCAAUCGGUGGUGUCUGGCUCCACCGUGGGAAGCAGAUGACUUUGAGCUGUAGGACCAGUGGCUGGAGGAUGUGCAAGCAAGUGAUGGCAGAUGGAAGGACCAUCAAAGCAAGGGAUUGAAAAGGCAUUGCGGAGGACCAGAGGAUCAAAGCCCUGGUCUAUUGACCAAUCCUUUCUAACACGAUGUCGAGUACAAAUCUAUUAUUGAGAUGAGUAGCUCAGCCAAUAAAAGUAAAAUCACUAUUAACAAUUCGUCCUGUUCAUAGCAGUGAAAAUGUUUACAUUAUUUGUUAUAAACAGAUUGUUUUUGAUUCAAUUCUGUCACAUACAGUAUUAGUCAUGUUUAUGGAAAUGCAAAAAGGUUAGUGCAAUCAGGACUAUGUGUGACCUGUGGAUUUGCUGCCAAGUUUAUACUACACUUAUGUGGGAAAUAAAGUACUGUUUUGAUCCUGAACUUCUGUUCCUUAUCUCCUCGUGCUUUUGAAUGGCAUCAUACAAUUA